UCGUCUUCUUCGCUACGUUCGGUUCAUUCGCACGCACUGUUUUGAUGGUUUCGAAUGCUGCAUGUAGUUGAUAAGUUGAAAUACCGAAUUAUUGUGUAAAACUAACUGUGAAAAUGGUUGAGCAACAAAAACAACGUAUCGAGCUCGAGCUCUCUCAGCGUGUCGAUGAAUUGGAUCGUACAAUCUUGCGUAAGAUGCAGGCCGAAAUGCAUGAUUGUGCUGCUCGCUGUUGUCGUGAUACGGGAGGUAGUAUGGAAUCUGUUCAACGGUGCGUAGAAAACUGUUCCAUCCCAGUGCAACGUGCACAGCAGCACGUUGAAACAGAACUAGGUAACUUCAACAAUCGUCUUCAACGAUGCGUCAUGGAUUGCAAUGACAGUAUCAAGGAUAAGAUGGGUCCAACUCCGACGGAUGAUGAGAUUUCCAAAUACACUGCCAUGUUCGAACGGUGCGCAAUCAAAUGCGUGGAUAAGCAUGUAGAUAUAUUGCCUGGUCUGUUCAAGUCAAUCCAGCAAGUUUUGGGGAGUAAACGAUACUAAAUGUUUUCGAUGGCAGUUAUGGUUUGGGUUGUUUUUCGUAAACCAUUCACUCAGUUACACAACAGCAAAUUUGAAUAAGAAGCUAUAGAAAAAGGAAAUAUUAGUCUCAUGUCACACAUUUGACUAUUACGAAUGCUUAGAUCUAAGAUACAUGCAUUUAUGACGUACGAUUGCGAUAGAACAAAUGUAAAAGAAAUCCUUAUAUUGAUAAACUAAUACUUAAUAAUUGCCGUAAAAGAAUCGUAUACUGCCGUUCUAAGCAUAAUUGUGCCAUAUAUAGGAAUUUCCAUAUGAUAUGGGACAAUUAUGCGUGGAAUGGCAGUAUUUAUGAUUCAAAAAUUUAAUUUAGCUAUUUCUGUAGUAUCGGUUUGUUCUUGGCUCUUCAUUUCUUAACAAAUAAGUGAUAAUAUUAACCGCAUGUUAAUUUGGGUUUCGCUUAUAGUUUGUCAUAAAACUAAACGAAAAGGAAAACAUUCCCGUGUGGUGUUAAAACCUAUACUUUAUUUGCAAUGCAAUGUGGAUGUUGACAGGUGGCUUACUAACCGUUCAAAAAAGCGACAAAGGUAGUUGAGGAUGUGCAAGCAGCUAAAUAUGCAAUAACACCACAACAACAGCUAAAUAUGCAAUGACAACAGCAACACUAAGAACAGACAUCCAUGUAGUGAUUUCAAUGCACGUGAGAAAUACUGUUUUACAAAGUGAUCAACAAGUAGCAGCCCAGAAAUCGCUUAUAGGUCCUUGUGUUCGAGUUAUUUCAUGCAUGUAAAAUCGUACGCAAGUGAUUUUUGGUAAUUUUUACUUGUAUGCUUUACAUAGUUUUCUAAGCUAAGGCACAGAUAACAGACAUCCAUGUAGAGAUCUCAAAGUGUGUAAGAUAUUUAACGGUUCUUUGGCAAAGUGAUCAUCAAAUAGCAAUCGCCCCCACUGCCCCUAAGCAAAAGCGGCCCUGCUUAACACUACUCACAAUGUUCUGUACAACGUUUGGACCAACUUUUUUUUCGUGAAAACUCUUAUUUUUAUAUUUGACUCCCAUUUUACUUCUCUGGGAAGUUACCGGAACGCCUGCUUCAUGAUGGCAUUUCAAUGAGCCGUAGUUUCUGUGCGAUCGGGGGAUUAAUGUCCUUAGGCACGAAUUCGACCUCAUUAGCCUUGCAUCCCUCCAAAACAUCCGGUGAGUAAAGCGUAUGACCAUUAUGUGACCUUAGAAGUGGAAGUUGACACUUUUGAAUGCAUUCCUUUAGGUAUACGUGCCUAUUGAUUGUACCGCUUUCUACAUGAGUAUUUUUUAUU